UUGACCUCGAAUCAGGUAGGGAUACCCGCUGAACUUAAGCAUAUCAAUAAGCGGAGGAAAAGAAACCAACCGGGAUUACCUCAGUAACGGCGAGUGAAGCGGUAACAGCUCAAAUUUGAAAUCUGGCUCCCUUGGAGUCCGAGUUGUAAUUUGUAGAAGAUGCUUUGGGUGGCAGGACUAGCCUAAGUUCCUUGGAACAGGACGUCAUAGAGGGUGAGAAUCCCGUAUGUGGCCCUGACCUGCGCCUAUGUAAAGCUCUUUCGACGAGUCGAGUUGUUUGGGAAUGCAGCUCAAAAUGGGUGGUAAAUUUCAUCUAAAGCUAAAUAUGGGCCAGAGACCGAUAGCGCACAAGUAGAGUGAUCGAAAGAUGAAAAGCACUUUGGAAAGAGAGUUAAACAGUACGUGAAAUUGUUGAAAGGGAAGCGCUUGCACCCAGACUUGGCCACCGUUGAUCCGCUGGAGUUCUCUCCAGCGCCACUCAGCGGGGGACAGGCCAGCAUCGGUUCGGGUGGCUGGAGAAAGACCACAGGAAUGUAGCUCUCUUCGGGGAGUGUUAUAGCCUAGGGUGCCAUACAGCCCACGCCGGAUCGAGGACCGCGCCUUUGGGCUAGGAUGCUGGCGUAAUGGGUGUAAGCGACCCGUCUUGAAACACGGACCAAGGAGUCUAACAUCUAUGCGAGUGUUUGGGCAUCAAACCCAUACGCGGAAUGAAAGUGAACGUAGGUGAGAGCCCCUUGAGGGCGCAUCAUCGACCGAUCCUGAUGUCUUCGGAUGGAU
rnacentral:rRNA from 1 species